CCGGCGCACGGGUGAGUAACACGUAUCCAACCUGCCGUCUACUCUUGGCCAGCCUUCUGAAGGAAGAUUAAUCCAGGAUGGGAUCAUGAGUUCACAUGUCCGCAUGAUUAAAGGUAUUUUCCGGUAGACGAUGGGGAUGCGUUCCAUUAGAUAGUAGGCGGGGUAACGGCCCACCUAGUCAACGAUGGAUGGGGGUUCUGAGAGGAAGGUCCCCCACAUUGGAACUGAGACACGGUCCAA
rnacentral:rRNA from 1 species